UACGUAGGGGGCAAGCGUUGUCCGGAAUUAUUGGGCGUAAAGAGCGCGUAGGCGGUCCGAUAAGUCGGCUGUGAAAGUCCAGGGCUCAACCCUGGAAAGCCGGUGGAAACUGUCGAGCUAGAGUCCGGAAGAGGCGAGUGGAAUUCCUGGUGUAGCGGUGAAAUGCGCAGAUAUCAGGAGGAACACCAAUGGCGAAGGCAGCUCGCUGGGACGGUACUGACGCUGAGACGCGAAAGCGUGGGGAGCAAACAGG
rnacentral:rRNA from 1 species